rnacentral:tRNA from 1 species
UGGGAUGUAGCCAAGCGGUAAGGCACGGGACUUUGACUCCCGCAUUCGUCGGUUCAAAUCCGGCCGUCCCAGCCA